GAAGAAGUGCUGGCCGGAGUCCUGCAACAGCGAGCGCCUCAAGCUCUGGGAAAUCAGGGACCUGGUGACGGAGCUGGACGCCAACUGGCCGACGCUGGCGUGCAAGGGCGGGAAGAGCUUCGAGUUCUGGACCCACGAGUGGGAGAAGCACGGCACCUGCUCCAACCUGGACCAGCACGGCUACUUCGCGACGGCGCUCGGCUUCAAGGCCCGCCACAACCUCACCAGCAUCCUCGCCGACGCCGGGAUCGUGCCGUCCGACACCGAGACCUACUUCCUCAGCAGCAUCAGGGACGCCAUCAGGGAGGGGACCGGGUUCACGGCGAACCUGGAGUGCAACCGUGGCGUCGACGGCGAGACGCAGCUGUUCCAGGUGUACCAGUGCAUCGACCGCGACGGGGAGAACCUCAUCGACUGCCCGCUGCCGAUGCAGGGCAACUGCAAAGACAGGGUCCAGCUGCCGGC
rnacentral:lncRNA from 1 species